GAAACGGCCGCUGUCCACCUGAGCCACGAGCCAAGGCUUCAAGCGCACUCUCCGGCCCUGCGCGCUCAUGAUCUCGCAAGGGAGGGAGGGAGGGCGGUCGUCAGUCAUCAGCUGCUCAUGCUGAUCCUGAAGAGGAAGUGACACCCUAAGCGCAGAAUGUGCCACGAUACUUUUAGAAGGCAUUGCGCUUCAGUAUCAGGCUGAGCUGAUGGACCGGAAAAGGUGUCUGAGCUCACCUGCCGUCGUCCUGGUGCCGAGAUGCUACUUGAGACGCGCUUUCCCAAAGUCCUGCCGCCGCUGCUGCUGCUGCUGCCGCUCUCGCUGUCAGCAACUUUCCCCCUCUCUGGAGCCCUUCCUUGUCCUGUGGCAGCUCUCCGAUUGGCUGAGCCUUCCGCCCCCCCCUUCCGUGGGCAUGACUUGCUUGAAGAGGUCCUCAGAUGUUUGCAAGCGUUAAAAAUGUCAACCAGGA